rnacentral:rRNA from 1 species
GAUGAACGCUGGCGGCGUGCCUAAUACAUGCAAGUCGAGCGAAUGGAUUAAGAGCUUGCUCUUAUGAAGUUAGCGGCGGACGGGUGAGUAACACGUGGGUAACCUGCCCAUAAGACUGGGAUAACUCCGGGAAACCGGGGCUAAUACCGGAUAACAUUUUGAACCGCAUGGUUCGAAAUUGAAAGGCGGCUUCGGCUGUCACAUAUGGAUGGACCCGCGUCGCAUUAGCGAGUUGGUGAGGUAACGGCUCACCAAGGAAACGAUGCGGAGCCGACCUGAGAGGGUGACCGGCCACCCGGGGACUGAGACACGGCCCAGACUCCUACGGGGGGCAGCAGUAGGGAAUCUUCCGAAAGGGACGAAAGUCUGACGGAGCAACGCCGCGGGAUUGAUGAAGGCUUUCGGGUCGUAAACCUCUGUUGUUAGGGAAGAACAAGUGCUAGUUGAAUAAGCUGGCACCUUGACGGUACCUAACCAGAAAGCCACGGCUAACUACGUGCCAGCCGCCGCGGUAA